AAAAAAAAAAAAAAAAAGAUCGCUGCUUCUCCUACUCUCUUUCUCUGUACCUUUCUUUACUAGGAUUGCUGCGUGCUUUAGAUUGGUUUCUGGAAAUCGGAGGAACCGAUGAAAUUGGCGUCUGGAUUUCGAGGGAAGAUGGGAGAAAUAUCAAAGUGAGGAAGAAACAGCUGUUGGUCGUGGGAAGCGCCUGCGGAAAGCUGUUUCUUACAGGGAAGCAUAUGCUGCACACCCAAGUGAAACUUUGAGUGAGAACCUGGGUAUCAACCAAGGACUAAUAUCAAUCCCAGAAGGUCAUGUUGGGGUAUAUUGGAGAGGAAGCGCUCUUCUGAAGACAAUUAUAGAUCCAGGUGAUGUGCAUUGAGAAGUUGCUUGCAUAGGGCCUUAAAUUUGCCUGCUUCUCAUUAUUUCAAAUUUCAAGUUCACCCAUUUUGAACCCGUUCAAGUGACCCUGCAUACUGAUUAGUGGGAUUUUUGAGAGGGACUGGUGGAUCUCUGAAAAGGAACUUGGUGGAAAUUCCUUAUUACACUGUUCUGUCUCAGAAGUUGUGAAUUAUAUGCAGAUGGUUGACAAAUUGGAUGAUGAAACCAUGGCAAUAGAAUUUGGUCCACCUGAUUUUAAAGAGGCCCUAUAAGAAACUUGGUUGCAAGGCAAGUUGGAAACGCACAAAAGUUUGAUUGCGUCCUAUAGAAAUGCCAGAGAAUGUCAUCUCCAUUUCGUGCAAAAUCAGACUUCUUUCUGCACACAAAAACACUAGGAAGUAGACUUGUUGCUAAAUGAUGGCAGGAUGGAGGAAGAAUGCUACAUUACCUCAAAGAGUUGAGACAAGUCGAAGGAGGAGUAGACGGUGUCUAUUAAUGAGUUUGGCUCUGGCAAAGACAUCAGUUCAGCAGAGUGGUGCCAUUUUAUGAUCAGCGAACUGUUGUAUCUGUGAAGGAUGCAGCAUGCCAUGGACGAUGUUUUGUGGGAAAUCAACGAGACAUUUUAACAGAGCUUUUUCUCAUAAGCAAGAUUGGUCACAUGCUUACUAUAUCGGAAAGCUCUGUGAAAAGCUCAAGUUCUUCUCUUAUGAGACAUCGGUCAUAUUAUUACAAAGCUAUUGUUGCUGGUAGAUUGGGAAGCAAAGAUUCUACUGAUACUUCUGUUUCAUGUCCUGAUCAAGCCAAUCCAUGGGAUACCGAAUAUGGUGAUAUGUCCAGAUUUAUUAAAAAAAACGUCAAAUAACUAUGGUGCUUUCCCUGUGGCUCAUUUGCUUUUAGAGGAGGCUGCUAGUAGAGGUCUCUUGUAUCAGAGACCUAUGGAUGUUGAUGUUUAUUUGAAUUGCCAUCAGCGGAAAUUGCAAAUCCUUAUUGCAGCUGCAGGGAUUGGUGAAUGCCUUGAUUCCUGUAAAUCCUUACUAUUGAAAUCAGGAUCAAACAUUCGCUAUGCUUCUGGCAUAGACACACAAGAAAGUUCAAGCAAGCAGUGCUGGAAUUUAUUGGUUGCCGAGGAAGUGAAGGCUAUAGUGUUUCCCAAGUGAAGAACCGGAUUGAUCAAUCUGGGGAUUCUAUGUUUAAUUUUGUUUAACUCUGAUAUUUCUAUUGACGUGAUGGGUCUACUCUAUCAUGGCUGCGCGAUUACCUUAUCGAGCAGGGUCUCUAAGUGCCUCGUUACAAUUUAAUUUGAAGUCAUGGUGAAUUUGGUUUGAAAACAAAGUUGUUGCUGCAUGGGAUGUGAUGGAUAUUAUGUGUGAAAGCCAUUUGUCUUUGCAUUCUGGGAUCUCUGGAUAUGGAUUGUCGUUGUGAAUGAUAGUGUUUUAAUUUUUCAAUUAUUAUCCCUAAAAUUUAUUUUCUUCCUUUCACU